rnacentral:rRNA from 1 species
GAUGAACGCUGGCGGCGUGCCUAAUACAUGCAAGUCGAGCGAACGGACGAGAAGCUUGCUUCUCUGAUGUUAGCGGCGGACGGGUGAGUAACACGUGGAUAACCUACCUAUAAGACUGGGAUAACUUCGGGAAACCGGAGCUAAUACCGGAUGAUAUUUUGAACCGCAUGGUUCAAGAGUGAAAGACGGUCUUGCUGUCACUUAUAGAUGGAUCCGCGCUGCAUUAGCUAGUUGGUAAGGUAACGGCUUACCAAGGCAACGAUGCAUAGACGACCUGAGAGGGUGAUCGGCCACACUGGAACUGAGACACGGUCCAGACUCCUACGGGAGGCAGCAGUAGGGAAUCUUCCGCAAUGGGCGAAAGCCUGACGGAGCAACGCCGCGUGAGUGAUGAAGGUCUUCGGAUCGUAAAACUCUGUUAUUAGGGAAGAACAUAUGUGUAAGUAACUGUGCACAUCUUGACGGUACCUAAUCAGAAAGCCACGGCUAACUACGUG